UACGUAGGUCCCGAGCGUUGUCCGGAUUUAUUGGGCGUAAAGCGAGCGCAGGUGGUUUAUUAAGUCUGGUGUAAAAGGCAGUGGCUCGACCAUUGUAUGCAUUGGAAACUGGUAGACUUGAGUGCAGGAGAGGAGAGUGGAAUUCCAUGUGUAGCGGUGAAAUGCGUAGAUAUAUGGAGGAACACCGGUGGCGAAAGCGGCUCUCUGGCCUGUAACUGACACUGAGGCUCGAAAGCGUGGAGAGCAAACAGG
rnacentral:rRNA from 1 species